AACGAACGCUGGCGGCAGGCUUAACACAUGCAAGUCGAACGGGCCCUUCGGGGUCAGUGGCCGACGGGUGAGUAACGCGUGGGAACGUGCCCUUCAGUUUGGGAUAACCCAGGGAAACUUGGGCUAAUACCGGAUACGUGCGAGUGCAGCAAGAUUUCUCGCUGGAGGAUCCGCCCGCGGCGGAUUAGCUGGUUGGUAGGGUAAUGGCCUACCAAGGCGACGAUCAGUAGCUGGUCUGAGAGGAUGAUCAGCCACAUUGGAGCUGAGACACGGCCCAAACUCCUACGGGAGGCAGCAGUGGGGAAUAUUGGACAAUGGGCGCAAGCCUGAUCCAGCCAUGCCGCGUGAGUGAUGAAGGCCUUAGGGUUGUAAAGCUCUUUCAGUGGGGACGAUAAUGACGGUACCCGCAGAAGAAGCCCCGGCUAACUUCGUGCCAGCAGCCGCCGCGG
rnacentral:rRNA from 1 species